rnacentral:misc_RNA from 1 species
AUUUCUAUGCUGAAUUGUUAAAUAUCUUUAUAAGAUAUAUUAUCCAAAACACAGU